AAAUUGAAGAGUUUGAUCAUGGCUCAGAUUGAACGCUGGCGGCAGGCCUAACACAUGCAAGUCGAGCGGUAGCACAGAGAGCUUGCUCUCGGGUGACGAGCGGCGGACGGGUGAGUAAUGUCUGGGAAACUGCCUGAUGGAGGGGGAUAACUACUGGAAACGGUAGCUAAUACCGCAUAAUGUCGCAAGACCAAAGUGGGGGACCUUCGGGCCUCAUGCCAUCAGAUGUGCCCAGAUGGGAUUAGCUAGUAGGUGGGGUAACGGCUCACCUAGGCGACGAUCCCUAGCUGGUCUGAGAGGAUGACCAGCCACACUGGAACUGAGACACGGUCCAGACUCCUACGGGAGGCAGCAGUGGGGAAUAUUGCACAAUGGGCGCAAGCCUGAUGCAGCCAUGCCGCGUGUGUGAAGAAGGCCUUCGGGUUGUAAAGCACUUUCAGCGGGGAGGAAGGCGGUGAGGUUAAUAACCUCACCGAUUGACGUUACCCGCAGAAGAAGCACCGGCUAACUCCGUGCCAGCAGCCGCGGUAAUACGGAGGGUGCAAGCGUUAAUCGGAAUUACUGGGCGUAAAGCGCACGCAGGCGGUCUGUCAAGUCGGAUGUGAAAUCCCCGGGCUCAACCUGGGAACUGCAUUCGAAACUGGCAGGCUAGAGUCUUGUAGAGGGGGGUAGAAUUCCAGGUGUAGCGGUGAAAUGCGUAGAGAUCUGGAGGAAUACCGGUGGCGAAGGCGGCCCCCUGGACAAAGACUGACGCUCAGGUGCGAAAGCGUGGGGAGCAAACAGGAUUAGAUACCCUGGUAGUCCACGCCGUAAACGAUGUCGAUUUGGAGGUUGUGCCCUUGAGGCGUGGCUUCCGGAGCUAACGCGUUAAAUCGACCGCCUGGGGAGUACGGCCGCAAGGUUAAAACUCAAAUGAAUUGACGGGGGCCCGCACAAGCGGUGGAGCAUGUGGUUUAAUUCGAUGCAACGCGAAGAACCUUACCUGGUCUUGACAUCCACAGAACUUAGCAGAGAUGCUUUGGUGCCUUCGGGAACUGUGAGACAGGUGCUGCAUGGCUGUCGUCAGCUCGUGUUGUGAAAUGUUGGGUUAAGUCCCGCAACGAGCGCAACCCUUAUCCUUUGUUGCCAGCGGUUAGGCCGGGAACUCAAAGGAGACUGCCAGUGAUAAACUGGAGGAAGGUGGGGAUGACGUCAAGUCAUCAUGGCCCUUACGACCAGGGCUACACACGUGCUACAAUGGCAUAUACAAAGAGAAGCGACCUCGCGAGAGCAAGCGGACCUCAUAAAGUAUGUCGUAGUCCGGAUUGGAGUCUGCAACUCGACUCCAUGAAGUCGGAAUCGCUAGUAAUCGUAGAUCAGAAUGCUACGGUGAAUACGUUCCCGGGCCUUGUACACACCGCCCGUCACACCAUGGGAGUGGGUUGCAAAAGAAGUAGGUAGCUUAACCUUCGGGAGGGCGCUUACCACUUUGUGAUUCAUGACUGGGGUGAAGUCGUAACAAGGUAACCGUAGGGGAACCUGCGGUUGGAUCACCUCCUUACCUUAAAGAA
rnacentral:rRNA from 1 species